rnacentral:rRNA from 1 species
UACAGUGGGGGCAAGCGUUGUUCGGAAUUACUGGGCGUAAAGGGUCUGUAGGUGGCCAACUAAGUCAGACGUGAAAUCCCUCAGCUUAACUGGGGAACUGCGUCUGAUACUGGAUGGCUUGAGUGUGGGAGAGGAAUGCGGAAUUCCAGGUGUAGCGGUGAAAUGCGUAGAUAUCUGGAGGAACACCGGUGGCGAAGGCGGCAUUCUGGACCAUAACUGACACUGAGAGACGAAAGCCAGGGGAGCAAACGGG